GAUGAACGCUGGCGGCGUGCCUAAUACAUGCAAGUCGAGCGAACGGACGAGAAGCUUGCUUCUCUGAUGUUAGCGGCGGACGGGUGAGUAACACGUGGAUAACCUACCUAUAAGACUGGGAUAACUUCGGGAAACCGGCGCUAAUACCGGAUAAUAUUUUGAACCGCAUGGUUCAAAAGUGAAAGACGGUCUUGCUGUCACUUAUAGAUGGAUCCGCGCUGCAUUAGCUAGUUGGUAAGGUAACGGCUUACCAAGGCAACGAUGCAUAGCCGACCUGAGAGGGUGAUCGGCCACACUGGAACUGAGACACGGUCCAGACUCCUACGGGAGGCAGCAGUAGGGAAUCUUCCGCAAUGGGCGAAAGCCUGACGGAGCAACGCCGCGUGAGUGAUGAAGGUCUUCGGAUCGUAAAACUCUGUUAUUAGUGAAGAACAUAUGUGUAAGUAACUGUGCACAUCUUGACGGUACCUAAUCAGAAAGCCACGGCUAACUACGUG
rnacentral:rRNA from 1 species